rnacentral:rRNA from 1 species
UACGUAGGGGGCAAGCGUUGUCCGGAAUCAUUGGGCGUAAAGAGCGUGUAGGCGGCCCGGUAAGUCCGCUGUGAAAGUCCAGGACUCAACCCUGGGAUGCCGGUGGAUACUGUCGGGCUCGAGUCCGGAAGAGGAGUGUGGAAUUCCUGGUGUAGCGGUGAAAUGCGCAGAUAUCAGGAGGAACACCAAUGGCGAAGGCAGCACUCUGGGACGUGACUGACGCUGAGACGCGAAAGCGUGGGGAGCAAACAGG